rnacentral:tRNA from 1 species
CCCCCUAUAGCUCAGUUGGUUAGAGCAGAGGACUCAUAAUCCUUGUGUCCCAGGUCCAAGUCCUGGUGGGGGGA